UGGUUCUGAAUGGAAGGGCCAUCGCUCAACGGAUAAAAGGUACUCCGGGGAUAACAGGCUGAUACCGCCCAAGAGUUCAUAUCGACGGCGGUGUUUGGCACCUCGAUGUCGGCUCAUCACAUCCUGGGGCUGAAGUCGGUCCCAAGGGUAUGGCUGUUCGCCAUUUAAAGUGGUACGCGAGCUGGGUUUAGAACGUCGUGAGACAGUUCGGUCCCUAUCUGCCGUGGGCGUUGGAGAAUUGAAGGGGGCUGCUCCUAGUACGAGAGGACCGGAGUGGACGAACCUCUGGUGUUCGGGUUGUCACGCCAGUGGCAUUGCCCGGUAGCUAAGUUCGGAAUUGAUAAGCGCUGAAAGCAUCUAAGCGCGAAGCGAGCCCUGAGAUGAGUUCUCCCUGGCACUAUAAGUGUCCUAAAGGGUUGUUCGAGACUAGAACGUUGAUAGGCAGGGUGUGUAAGCGCUGUGAGGCGUUGAGCUAACCUGUACUAAUUGCCCGUGAGGCUUAACCAU
rnacentral:ncRNA from 1 species